GAUGAAGAACGUAGCGAAAUGCGAUAAGUAAUGUGAAUUGCAGAAUUCAGUGAAUCAUCGAAUCUUUGAACGCACAUUGCGCCCGCCAGUAUUCUGGCGGGCAUGCCUGUUCGAGCGUCAUUACAACCCUCAGGCCCCCGGGCCUGGCGUUGGGGAUCGGCGGAGCCCCCCGUGGGCACACGCCGUCCCCCAAAUGCAGUGGCGGUCCCGCCGCAGCUUCCAUCGCGUAGUAGCUAACACCUCGCGACUGGAGAGCGGCGCGGCCACGCCGUAAAACACCCAACUCUUCUGAAGUUGACCUCGAAUCAGGUAGGAAUACCCGCUGAACUUAAGCAUAUCAAAAGCGGGA
rnacentral:misc_RNA from 1 species